rnacentral:RNase_P_RNA from 1 species
GUGGAAGAUUGGAUGGUCGCUCGGUGCCUAGCGCAUCGAGAGGAAAGUCCGGACUCCACGGGCAGGGCGCUGGGUAACUCCCAGGCGGAGCAAUCCGACACCAGCACCACAGAAAUCAAACCGCCGAUGGCCAAGGCGAUGGGAUCCCAUCUGGUCGCUGCGGCUCAGGUAAGGGUGAAACGGUGGGGUAAGAGCCUACCGCGGUGGUGGUGACAUCACCGGCACGGUAAGCGUCGCCCGGUGCAAGGCCAAAU